AAGUAUUAGGUGGUGUGUAUUUAUCAAUGGUCAAGUCAACAGAAACAACCUUGUCACAGUCACAGGCUCCUUCCCUCACCGUAUGAUUCUCCGUUUCCUCUCUUACUCUGUCCACCUCACUACUUAUGACUGUGCAGGCUGCUUCAAAGCCAUUUCUUGGAAACUUGUGUUCAGUCAUUUCCUGCGGCAGCUCCUGAAGCCGCUUCCUUGUGACAGUCCCCAGGAGGUGAAACCGUCCUGCACAAGAAGAGUGAGGCUGGAAUUGCUGAGGCUGGCUUCACACGGCAGGCCCAGGGAGGGAGCGUGGCUUACAGCCACAGGCUGAGAAUGCACAGUGGCCAAGAGCAUGGGGGGCUUCGUCUGGGGACGCCAACCUCCUGCCCUGGGAGCCCAACAGGCUCGUGACGAUGACAUCUGCACAUCUUGGAGGAGUGGAAAGGAGCACUUUUUCCACCUGCCGCACUGCUGCCUGCCAGCGCUGCUGUAGCCUGGCCACUUGCAGCUUGCCCAGUACUUUCCUGGAACCAGAAAGCAGCCACACAAGAAAGUGACCAGGGACUGGGGCAGCUUAGCGAAUCCCCAGCAGAGGGGGGCUCUGAGUCUUCCGUGCAUAGUGUGCUGUGUCUCCUGGAUCCAGCCCCGCCCAGGGCUGAUCUGCAGCCCAGCCUCUGGGCCAGGCCCUGCCAACCCCAGCCUGCCUCCUGGGAUUCCCUUGAGGACCGAUCCUGUUCUGUGUGCGAUGAGAUGGCAUGAAUGGCAUAAGGUAGCUCCUGUCUCUGCAGUUACAAGGAUAACACUGCUGCCUGUUCCUUGAGCCAUCUUACCUGUAGCUUUGGUGGGCCCCUGCUCCUAUAGCUGCAGUGUCCCAUCCUUGCCAGGGACCCUGCUUCAACCCCCUCUCUUGGCUGGAAAGAAGCCUGGCUGGGGCGCCUGAGAGCCUCUCCCCCUGCUCCCUGCUCCUGCAGCUCCUGCCAGCUCCCCAGCCCGUGGCUAUGCCUGCUGGGGCCUUGAGGCCACGUCCUGGCCCUGAACCUACUACCUGCCAGCUCCCACGGGCACUGCAGACCAGACAUCUCUGGACUUGGAGAGCUGAGCGGAGCUGCCCUUGAGAUCAUGGGAAGCCCGAAGGAACCCGAACACAUCUGACUCGGGGGAUACGAAGGGAAGGGGCAGCCAACAAGGACAGGGAUGCAGGCAUUCUCAUCUCAAACUCCACCCCAGGACACCUGGUGGUGACGGCCACUGAGCACCACACUUGGGGCAGCAAGGCCACAGCACAUGCACUCUGAGUGCAGUGACAGUGGUCAGAACUUGGAGUCCACUGCUGUGGGAAAGCUGACGCCUCGGGACUCCAGGUGGUCAGCAGGACGUACUGGAUAGAACGCUUCGGGGUGACCCCGGGCCACAGCCCCACCAGUGUGGUCAUCGUCAUCAGAGGCAGGCGCAGCAAGGUACCCGAGCUCAGGGGCUGAGUAGGAGGGGGAGCCAGAGUCACUGGGUGCAGCGGCACUCCACGAAGGAGAGGAGACGACGUCCAGCACUCUCGCUG